GGAGGAGGUGAUUUUUGACAGCAGGGACCAGGCAAGAGCAACGCAAAUUUCCUGCUUUCUUUUCCGAUAUGAAGACAAAUCAGAAAGCCUGGUUUUAAAACUAGCAGAUCCAUCUACCGAGCCUUAGAAAACGCCGUGUCCGGAAUUUCCUGAAUGCACCAGUUUUAAGGGAUUUGGGAGUUUUCAGUCCUGGCUUAAUACGAAAUUCGCUGCGAAUUGUCCUGACACAUGAAUGAGAACUUAAUGGAAACCACUUUCAGUGGCAACAAAUCCCGUCUGCUAAGCUGAAGAUUACAAUGGCUUGUUGACUAAAUUAGUAGCACUUGAUUACGGUUGUCAAACCUUGGGAGCUGCUGUGACUCAAAAACUGCAGUGGCUGUAUCUUGAAGAUUAAGGAAAAAACACGGCACACAAUGGAUCUUGUUCAUGUGCCAGUGUUGGUUUCCAGCUUCCUUUUCUCAGAUGUAUUAAGUGCUGCAGCAAAUGACACAGACAGUAUUUCACCACC